rnacentral:sRNA from 1 species
UAUGAUGUGGUUGUCUACCAGUUUGAUUACCAGACUUGUUUACCAGUUUGUUGUUAAACUCAUUUUUUUUAUGUAGCUAUUGUUUACAUAAUUUUACAAUAGAUUAAUACAUGUUUUAAUUUUGUUGAACAAGCUUUAAUUCAUCGAAUUCAUUUUGAAUUUAAUCUUCUUUUUUUUUCAAUGUUGAAAAAACAGUCAAUUUUUAUGAGAUCUGGUCUCUUAUUUUUGUAAUCGGAUGAUGUACAAGCACCAACUAUUUUGCACUUUGAUAAAUAUAAACAUUUUGAUUUGCUUUUCACUUUACCAAAAAAUUAUGUUGAAUGUGCAUGCAGCUAAAGGAUGCAAUGCUAUGUAUGAAGUAUAUAUAUAAGCUAUUUACCAUGUUGCAAAUGCUGAAAGAAAUUGCUUUCGGGGGAAAACAAUGCUGAGAACAAGUUGUAUUCAUUGUAAAUACCAUUUCCAAAAAAAAAAUAUGUGCAAUUCCUGUGGAAUUUUUAUACAUAACUGUACAUGUACGUUUGUGAAGAUAGCAUGACAUGUUUUUUAAACUGCUUUGUCUAUUUUUGUAUGAACUUGUAAUUACUUUUGAAUUUUUGUCAGCAUUAUUCUCAUUCAGACCUGACAGUAUUUGCAAAGUCAUCAUUUUUAAUGCAACGGGUUUUUGCUGAUCAUGAACAAAAAAGCUUCUUCUUGUCAUAUCAAAAGUGCUAGAUUAUUAAUAAAGCCCUUGUAGUACAUGUAGUUUAAAUGUGUAACUUAUUUUGUUCCGUGAACAUAUUGGUGCAGACGUUUGAAUAAUUGUACUCAUAAAACACUGGUAUUAAUUAAAUGUUCAGUAGAUUAAUUUUAAAAAUAUUGUGAUUUACAAUGUAAUUGAAUGUACAUUAGGGUUUUUUUUUUAGGGGUCUGCAGUUGGCCAAUUGAAAAUACCUCUUAUAUUAAAUUUAAACAAAGAUAAAACUUGCUGAAUGAUAUUCAAUCUUGUUCAUGAUUAUAAACUUGUGUAUAUUUUCCACUUUCAAAUUAAGUCUUCUUUAUAAACUAAUUUUAAUACAUGUACUUUGGUUUCAUGUAUACUGGUCAUCAUGCUAAUUCAGAACAUGCUCUGGCAAUUCUAAACCCAUAUUAAUCUUUUAACAGUUGAACAUUUUUUCAAUUAUUGUUCUUUUUUGUAACAUCUUGUUUGCAGAACAUGUUUUUCUUGAUAGUUGAGAUUUCGAAUGGUAGCAAUAAUGGUUGUCUUUAGGGCUUUUUGUAACUUUUGAUAUCAUUUUUUUAAAGCAAGAUAGAUAGUUACAAUAAUAUAUAUGAUUUAUUGUAUAUGUUCGUGCAUAUGAACCAGAAUUCGGUUUCAAACAAAAAAGUAUAAUUGCAAUACAAUUUUUUCAAAUGUGCUGAUGAAAUUGUUCACAGAAAAAUGUUCAGAUCAAAAGUUAAAUGAUAUAUUGAAUAAAAUACAGAG